rnacentral:rRNA from 1 species
AGUGAACGCUGGCGGUAGGCCUAACACAUGCAAGUCGAACGGCAGCACAGUAAGAGCUUGCUCUUACGGGUGGCGAGUGGCGGACGGGUGAGGAAUACAUCGGAAUCUACUUUUUCGUGGGGGAUAACGUAGGGAAACUUACGCUAAUACCGCAUACGACCUACGGGUGAAAGCAGGGGAUCUUCGGACCUUGCGCGAUUGAAUGAGCCGAUGUCGGAUUAGCUAGUUGGCGGGGUAAAGGCCCACCAAGGCGACGAUCCGUGGCUGGUCUGAGAGGAUGAUCAGCCACACUGGAACUGAGACACGGUCCAGACUCCUACGGGAGGCAGCAGUGGGGAAUAUUGGACAAUGGGCGCAAGCCUGAUCCAGCCAUACCGCGUGGGUGAAGAAGGCCUUCGGGUUGUAAAGCCCUUUUGUUGGGAAAGAAAAGCAGCAGGUUAAUACCCCGCUGUUCUGACGGUACCCAAAGAAUAAGCACCGGCUAACCCCGUG